rnacentral:rRNA from 1 species
GAUGAACGCUGGCGGCGUGCUUAACACAUGCAAGUCGAACGGAAAGGCCCAAGCUUGCUUGGGUACUCGAGUGGCGAACGGGUGAGUAACACGUGGGUGAUCUGCCCUGCACUUCGGGGUAAGCCUGGGAAACUGGGUCUAAUACCGGAUAGGACCACAUUUUGGAUGGUGUGGUGGAAAGUUUUUCGGUGUGGGAUGAGCUCGCGGCCUAUCAGCUUGUUGGUGGGGUAAUGGCCUACCAAGGCGUCGACGGGUAGCCGGCCUGAGAGGGUGUACGGCCACAUUGGGACUGAGAUACGGCCCAGACUCCUACGGGAGGCAGCAGUGGGGAAUAUUGCACAAUGGGCGCAAGCCUGAUGCAGCGACGCCGCGUGGGGGAUGACGGCCUUCGGGUUGUAAACUCCUUUCGCUAGGGACGAAGCGUUAUGUGACGGUACCUGGAGAAGAAGCACCGGCUAACUACGUG